UACGGAGGGGGCUAGCGUUAUUCGGAAUUACUGGGCGUAAAGCGCACGUAGGCGGACUGGAAAGUUGGGGGGUGAAAGCCCAGGGCUCAACCCUGGAACUGCCUUCAAAACUCCCAGUCUUGAGGUCGAGAGAGGUGAGUGGAAUUCCGAGUGUAGAGGUGAAAUUCGUAGAUAUUCGGAGGAACACCAGUGGCGAAGGCGGGCUCACUGGCUCGAUACUGACGCUGGAGGUGACGAAAGCGUGGGGAGCAAACAGG
rnacentral:rRNA from 1 species